AAAUUUAAUGAUUUAAGAUAAUAGAAGUUAAAGAAAAAAGUUUAAAUAGAAAAUCACUUUUAUUCGAAAUUAAAAGAUUAAAUGUCAGCAGUUAGUCUUGAGCCUAACGCUUUUAAACAAUCCCCUAAUCGAAAUUUAAUGAUUUAAGAUAAUAGAAGUUAGAGAAAAAGGUUAAAUAGAAAAUCACUGUUAUUCGAAAUUAAAAGAUUAAAUGUCAGCAGUUAGUCUCAAACCUAAUGCUUCUAAACAAUCCCUUAAUCGAAAGUUAAUUAUUUAAGAUAAUAGAAGAUAAAGAAAAAAGGUUAAUUAGAAGUUCAAUCUCAAUCGAAUUUAAAAGAUUAAAAAUCAUCAUUUAUUAUAGAAAAAGAAUAAG